UUAAGCAAUUUCCAUCAAAUUUAACAUUCCUAUUGUUCAACUCAUUGCUUAAACAAGAAGGUAAACCCCCCGUAAACCGAUUGAGUGAAAUAUCGACAACGGCGAGUUUGUUUCCACAUUGUAAGCGACUCGGUAGUUGACCCGUCAACUUGUUUGAUGUAAGGUUCAGGUAGGUAAGGUAUGGCAAUGAGAAGAGUGAAGGUGGUGGGACACCAGAAAGGGAGUUGAAUGAAAGAUCAAGUUCUUGAAGAAUGAGUUCUUGCUGAGAUACAGAAAGGUCAAACUGUUUGGCAAAUUGGGAAGAUCUGGUAAUUGACCUGUAACCCCAUUUUCUUUUAGGCUCAAACUGGUCAAAUUUGAUAACAAGUCAACCCCAUCAAGGAAACUACUAUUAAAGAAAUUCCCAUCAAGAUUCACACUUUCAAGACUUGCUAAUCUUGUAAAAGUUUGAGGAAUUGGGCCAUACAAGUAAUUGUAACUCAUAUCAAUAUACUUAAGUGUGUAUAGCCUUUGAAAUUUUUCAGGAACUUGACCCCAGAUUCCUAAAGAAACCAAACUAAGAGUCUUCAAGCUUGUUAAUCUUGAUAAAGUGGCAAUCAAAGAGUCAAUUGAGGAGUUUUGAGAAAGGGUUUGUGAAGGAAUUGGAAACCCAUUGAAGCUUGAACUCACCUUUUUCAGUUGUUGAUCAGGAGAAAGCCCCCCCAAGAUUUUGAGCUCUGUAACAUAAUUGUUUUCACAAGUGAUGUUGACUUGUGGUGAUGACAAGUAGCAUAAAUCAUCACUUGUGUUGGCCCAAAAGUCUAAUUGCUUUGGGUACUCGAGUUGUUUUCUUAACUGAAGCAAAACUUGUUUUUGCGAAGGUUGAAUUGCAUUUGUAAAGAAGAAACUCCAUGAAAGAGUCAAGAACAGCAGAUAAAAGCUUGAAGAAGCCAUUGAAAUACUCUGUUUUUUUUUUCUUGAAGAACAAGAGUGUGUUAAAUGUGAAAUGUGAACUUUGAACAGUGAAGCUUACAUAAAUUGUGUUGAAAACAGAAUCUUUAACAACUAAAAGUCAAGAUUCAACCCUUAAAGAUCAAAAACAGACAAAUGUUAAGCUCUGUCUUCCCCUGUGAAAUCAAGAUUGAAACUUUUUCUAGAGAAAUUGAGGAAUCAAACGAAAAGGGUAGAAAACAAAGAUGAAAUCUGAUGUGGGUUGUUGAAAAAUAAUGUUAGAAAUACGAAGUUCCAAUGCAUUUAGUGGUGGAGACACGUGGGUUUGCUGCCAUGGAAGAGGACAGAGAUGAAGAAAUAAGAGGUGGGCUAUUUUGGGAUUUUUAUCUUUCUCUUUGUUCCAGAAUUAGAUAGAUAUUGAAGUUCAAUAAAGAUUGAAGAACCCCCAACAAGAAAUUAAUUGUCAAGUUAACCUCAGAAUUAAGUAAAAGUUGUACUGAAUGCAUGACAUUUAGUACCCAUUAACUCCAGAUAGUAGAAUUAGAUCCUGCUAGUAGUCAAUGUGUAGACAGUUCGCUUUAAAUUCACGUGCCAGCUGGUAGUCGGUGCUUAGUUUAGU
rnacentral:lncRNA from 1 species